GACCAUGUGAAUGCAAGCAAAUCUCAAAAUAACGUCUCAGUUCGGAUUGUAGUCUGCAACUCGACUACAUGAAGCUGGAAUCGCUAGUAAUCGCGAAUCAGAAUGUCGCGGUGAAUACGUUCCCGGGUCUUGUACACACCGCCCGUCACACCAUGGGAGCCGGGAAUGCCCGAAGUCGGUGACCCAACCGUAAGGAGGGAGCCGCCGAAGGCAGGCCUGGUAACUGGGGUGAAGUCGUAACAAGGUACC
rnacentral:rRNA from 1 species